GCCGCAGCAGUGUGCUGAUUGGGCUGCAUGUGGCCCGUGGGCUGAGCACCACUGAUCUGGAUGUUUUAUUACCAUGUCAGUGCUGAAAAGGGCAGUACAGGUUUUCAAAUACUUGAAAGAUCUGCUGACUUAGCGUGAACUUUGCGCUAUAUACGUGAUUGCGUGUCUCAGCAAAAAAGGACAUUUCAACGGACACCUUUACAACUGUGACAAGUUCAUUUUGUAUGUAAAAUGCAGUGCUGUGUAUAUUUUUAAAUAAGCAGCACUGCCGUGUUUUCCUUUCCACUUGUUUCUGAUGGGCAUUGCGCUGCCAGCUGGACUUCCGUUAAAAUGGCAGUGUGCUGAUUGAUGUCUUCUCUGUGACCCGACUGCCUGUUGUUCACAAUGUUAGCAAAGUGUUUUGGGGGCUUUUUCUGGGUUUUUGGUAUGUAGAAGACUUACUGCUACAGAAGCAUGUGAUGAGACCAGAGCCAAGCUACAUUUUUUUAAAACAUGAAAUUGAAACAAAAUCCGGGACCUCUGGCUUCCCGAAUAGCACAGAUCGUAGAAGUAUCUUCAGCACACAUAAUCAAAACAGUCAAUUUGUUAGCACCUGGAGGCUGAAUUGGAGGAUAAGGACAACAAGAAGAGAAAGAAAUAGAAAUGUAGCUCAUCUGCUUGAGGAGAGCAUCAGCACAGACCCCAACAUCAAUGACCAACUAUCUGUGUUCUCGCUGGGCGGCGGAAGUGCGCGAUCUCAGCCACCCUCGUCAAACAGAGCCAAGUGCUGCUCCACUGCACUCGGCCUCUAACCUGGCUGCUGUGCUAAACAUGAAACCAUGAACAGCAAUGCCUGGGUGACCCCGUGUAGCCACCUUGCACGCUACAAACUGCCACGCUGCUGAAGCAUGCAGAAGAGGCAGCCUUCGCUCCGGUAGAGUGGGCACUGAUACCACGAGGGAGAUGCUCUACAUGCGACCGACAGCAGGUGGAAGUCCACUGUGGGAUUCACUCGGAAGAUUUUUAAAUGGGGGGAGGGGAGGUGCCUACGGGGCUGCCCUACUUAGAUCAAAGAGCUUGGCUCCCGAAACAUGCAACGUUUCAAGUUUCUUCUCCCAACUUUGCGCGCGCCUUUGAAAACGUAGCCAAUUAGUUCAGGUGGAAUCCCGAGGCCAGGUUGGGGAACUGGGCCAUUGUUCAUCGUUGCCUCCUCCCUGUGAAAGGCUGUGAAUGGUAGUUCAGCCCUAAAAUCCUGAACCUUGGGCUAAAGUCCAUUGUGCCUUCAGAAAGACCACUUGGAUGUGCUGCUAAGGUGGUGUAUUGAGUGCUCCGACAGCUCAGAGCAAGGUUCCCCAUGCUUUAAGAUGGUGGCACCGAGUCCCACACAAGAUUUUGCAUCUUGUGAAGAAAGCGCUAAAAGAAUGU